GCUAGAUUAGUAUGGCUAUAGUACGUCGAAUUUAGGAUUCGAAAGAAAACCUUAGUAGGUUUAUUUAGCU
rnacentral:tRNA from 1 species